GGGCGAGUGGCGAAAUAGGCAGACGCGCAGGCUUCAGGUGCCUGUAUUCGAAAGGAUGUGGGGGUUCAAGUCCCCCCUCGCCCACCA
rnacentral:tRNA from 1 species